UACGUAGGGUGCGAGCGUUGUCCGGAAUUAUUGGGCGUAAAGAGCUUGUAGGUGGUUUGUCGCGUCUGCUGUGAAAAUCCGAGGCUCAACCUCGGACUUGCAGUGGGUACGGGCAGACUAGAGUGUGGUAGGGGAGACUGGAAUUCCUGGUGUAGCGGUGGAAUGCGCAGAUAUCAGGAGGAACACCGAUGGCGAAGGCAGGUCUCUGGGCCAUUACUGACACUGAGAAGCGAAA
rnacentral:rRNA from 1 species